GACGUAGGUGGCAAGCGUUGUCCGGAGUUAUUGGGCGUAAAGCGCGCGCAGGCGGUCCUUUAAGUCUGAUGUGAAAGCCCACGGCUCAACCGUGGAGGGUCAUUGGAAACUGGGGGACUUGAGUGCAGAAGAGGAAAGCGGAAUUCCACGUGUAGCGGUGAAAUGCGUAGAGAUGUGGAGGAACACCAGUGGCGAAGGCGGCUUUCUGGUCUGUAACUGACGCUGAGGCGCGAAAGCGUGGGGAGCAAACAGG
rnacentral:rRNA from 1 species